AACGUAGGACGCAAGCGUUAUCCGGAGUUACUGGGCGUAAAGCGCGUGCAGGCGGAUCGGUAAGUCAUUUAUGAAAGCUCCUGGCUAAACUGGGAGAGGCUGGAUGAGACUGUCGAUCUUGAGAGAGGAAGAGGAAGGUAGAAUUCCGCGUGUAGUGGUGAAAUGCGUAGAUAUGCGGAGGAAUACCAGUGGCGAAGGCGGCCUUCUGGUCCUCGACUGACGCUGAGACGCGAAAGCAUGGGUAGCGAACGGG
rnacentral:misc_RNA from 1 species